AUGACUGGUGAAGCUCCGGCGGCGCCCCGGCCUCGUGCAUCCUCCUCCUCCCCAUCCCCUCUGCGCUCUCCUCCAGGCUUCGCUCCGGCACUCCGUGCAACACCCUCUUAUUCUCUGGCCUCGACUCCUCGCUCUAUCCUCAUCGCCCCUCUUCGGGCUAACAAGUUCUGGGCUCUCGAUUUGGACGGCUCCGACUCGGAUUCUGGGGCUUCCUCUCCCCCACCGUGCUCGUCCCCGGCGUGCUCUCCCCCCGUGGCUGCGGCGGCCGCUCGCCGGCGCAAGUUUGCGCCCGGUGGGCGGGGGCGGCCAGUCCGGCCUUCCAUGGAGUCGGAUGGGUGGCGUCGCGUCUCGCGCAGGCGGCGUCAUGCUUCGUGCUGGUCCCCGUGUUUGGAUUCACUGCGGUCUGCGCCGGAGUCGGCCUCACCCUCUCCGGUCCCAACCCUAGAUCUGGUUGUGGGGGCGGCACUGUUGCCUCUUCCUGUGGUGCGGGCCCCGGUGUGUGCUGCUGGGCUUGGUGGGCCGGCUUCGGCCUUGGCCCUGGCAUCUCUUUCUGAAUUCCCCCCUCUUCCUUCUGUGGACCCUGGGCUGCGGGCGGCCCAGGUCCAACCCACCUCUUCUGUUAGGCCGUGUACCGGUUCGGGCCUAGCUCGGUCGGGGUACUUAUGGGUGCGGAGAGGUGCGGCUCCCCCAUUCCUAGGGUUUCCUGCCUCCUCUUCAGAUCUGCUCCACCACCGUUUCCCAAUCCGGCGCUUCGGCAGAUCUGCUCCCCCUCCUCCCCUUUCCCUCUCUUUGUUGUGGUGGCGGCGAUGGACCGCUCCCAUGCGUCCUCAAUAUGAGGCGGCUCUCCGCAUGAAGCUUCAGGCCUCGAUCGCUCUGGAGGCGGGGUCGGCGGCGGCGUCCGUUGGUAUGUCUCCUCGUGCUUCCGGGUCGGGCCCGUCGGCGCCCCCUCUCCCUGCUUCUGGUGCUCCUUCGGUGGCGGCCGAUCCCUGGGGGGUGGCGGUGGCGGCGAGUCGGGAGGGUUCAUCGGGGCUAGCUCUGGCGCCCCCUCCACUGGGUGCUGCUCCCCGGGGCGGCGCUCCGGUGCGGGCUCAGGCUAGGGGCGGGCCGUCCCGCUUCUUCCCCAGAGGCGCGUCGGGGGCUCCGGCUCAGCGUCCCGUCGGCCCCGUGGCGGGGCGGGGCUCCGGCUCUGGGCUUGCUGCGGCUGGGGAUGGCAUCCUCCCUCCUCCUCCUUGUGGUCGCAUCCCUCCCCAAUCCCAAGUCUGCAACCCCAUCCUCACUUGCUUUGCGUGUCAUCGACCUGGCCACUUCCAAUUGCGGUGUGAAAACCCUCCCUUCUGCCUCAUCUGCUGGGAAGACGGCCACCUUACGGUGGACUGUCAGAAUCGGGUCAAGCCUCCUUCGUUUGUUCAUUAUGGCACCGGUCUUCCUGGAUGCUCGUUCUUCGCUCUUGAUAGGGAGAUCCCUGAGGCUGCCCCCAUCCCUUCCCUGUCCAAUAUUGGCAUUAUCUCCGUCCAGGAUAAACGCAUCUCGCCUCGGAUCCUUCUCGAUGAGCUUAAGUUAUGGGACGAGGGUGGAUGGGAUUGGCAGAUCCGCCAACUCUCCGAGUUCGAGUUUGCAGCGACUUUCCCCUCUAAAGAGAGCCUCCGGAUGAUAUCUUCUUGCUCUAGCUUCACUUUGCCUCUGAAUCAACUCGUGGUCUCGGUAAAAGCGGCCUCUAAUGGAUCCAAGUCUAUCUCUUCCUUGUCUGAUGUGUGGGUGCUGGUAGAAGAUGUCCCUCCGAGCAUGCGUACCACGACUUUCCUGAUGGCCUUCGGAGUUCUUAUUGGCAAAACCAUUGAUGUUGACCAAGAAUCUUUGGCGAUCCUGGGGCCGGGCCGGCUCCGGGUCUGGUGCGUCGACCCCCUGUGCAUUCAUGGCUCCCUCGAUGUCUUCCCUGUGGCUGGUGGCUUCCGGCUCCGUGUGAGGGUGGAGGGGGCCUCAGGCCCGGUGUCGCCUGCUCCUCCUCCCUCGCCUCCGGCCUCUGACAAUGGCGGCAAGAGCAAGGAGGGGGAUGGCUGCCCUGAUGACUCCAUGCGCGGCUCUGAUCCACGGUUCACCCAGUCGGAGUGGGAUGGCCUCUCUCCUGAAGAUCAGGACAUGCUCAAGGAGAGCGCGCCGGCUGGCAGGGGGGUCCAGGGCUCGGCACCGGAUCUGGGUGGGGAGGAGGUGGCUGCUGGUGGGACCAAGGGCACGCCUUUCUCGGUGAUGUGCUCCAACCUCCCUGCUCUCCCCACUUCUCCCUCCCUGUCAGGCAUUGAAGAUCUUCCCCCGGCGGGUCCUGCGGCGCUCAAAAAGAAGAAGAAAUCCUCAGUCAAGAAGUUCUCCGCCAAGAGCCGUGCCUCUGGUGACUCUAGGCAGUCUAUGGCCGGGCUCUGCCGAUGGCUGGAGGCUGAUUUGGGUAUGGCCUCGGGUCCGUCUUCUGCUGCGGCUUCUCCCAGUCGCGCGCGGCCCGUGCCUGUGCGUUCGCCUGCGUCCACGGCUCGGAAGAGUGGCCAUGUCUCGAACAGUGAUUCUAGUUUGGGUUCUCCUUCGUUUAUUCUUGGUAUCAUUAGGGUGAAUGAAAUCGCUCAGGCGGAUAUUGCGAAAGCCAAGGAGGCCAGGGAGGCAUUGGGCGCCCCACUGGUGGUGGCUGGUGGGGACGAGGGGGGAGAUGAUAGGAGUCAUGCUCCCUCGAAGACUUUCAAAUCUUCCUUUUCUGCUAGUGAAUUAUCGGCUAUUGCUGGGAUAGACAGAUUCCAUUGGAAUUAUGUGGCCUCGGCUGGUCACUCGGGCGGGUUUUUACUUGGUACCAAAAAAGAUACUUUUGAUUUCGUGGCUUUCGACCAUGGCAUUUUUUGGGCUAGCACGGUGGUCUCCAUUCGAUCUCUCAACUCCUUGGUGGAAAUUUUGGUGGUUUAUGGUCCGGCUGACCAUGCUAUGUCUUAUGCUUUUUUGGAUGAGCUUAGUAUUAAGAUUGAAUCUUGCCAGCUCCCUCUGUUGAUUGGGGGUGAUUUUAAUCUGCUUCGAUGUCCCUCCGACAAGAGCUCUCCUAACUUCUCGUGGCCCUUGGCUGAUGCUUUCAAUGCCUUCAUUAGGGAUAUGGCUAUUCAUGAUGGUUCACGCCCUAUGGGUUUAUCGAGAUUUCAUUUUGAUGCUUCCUGGCUUCAAGUCGAGGGUUUCAAUGGUUUGGUGGCUCAAAAAAAUUUGUCCUUCCUUUCUUCGAACCGUCGGUCUUUUGGCCUGAUGGAUCACUGGCAUCAAUGCUCUUAUUUUCUGCUUAGAUUCCUUAAAGGUUGGUCCAAAAAUCACUUUGCUGAGUCAAGGCGUGACAAAGCAAGGCUGGUGGCUCAGAUUGGCGUUCUAGACGAACAUGCGGAUUUAGCUGGGCUGUCCCCGGAUGAAUGGCAUUCCAGAUAUGGUCUAGAAGAGGCAUUGUUGGCCAUUCAUAGGCAGGAGGAAAUUUAUUGGAAACAACGCGGUACUAUCAACUGGACCCUCAAGGGGGACUUGCCCACGGCGUAUUUCUUUGCUAUUGCCAAUGAUUUUGCCCCGGUUGUGACUAAAGUUGGCAAUAGAGUUCUGCCGUGGCGAGGCCGGUACAAUUCCCAGGCGGGCAAGGUUGCCCUCACCAACUCCUGCCUUUCCUCGCUCCCGAUGUUCCUUAUGGGAUUCUACCUGCUGUCCGAAGGGACACACUCGGGCUUCGAUAAGCACAGGGGUGCUUUCUUCUGGAAUUCCUCCGAUAAUAAACGCAAAUAUAGGAUGACUCUGUUCUCGUUCUGUGCUGAUCCCGAGAUCUCUAUCUUUGAGCUCUCGGCUCAGGGCUGGGUUCUAGAUUUCCAGCGCUCUCUUUCCCCAGUAGAGUUGGAAGAUUGGCAUCAACUUAUUGCCUGCUCCCCCCUGCUCUCGGAGGAAGAGGACUCCGUGGUUUGGCCUCACUCCUCUUCGGGGCAUUUUUCGGUAAAUAUAUUUGGUCUGCCGGCAUCCCUCCCAAGAUCAAGAUCUUCCUUUGGCAAGCUCACCGUCGUAAACUUCCUGCGGCUGAUCAGAUUAAGAAUAGGAAUGGUCCGGGCUCGGACUCAUGUUAGCUUUGCGGUGCCCUUGAAAAUACUGAGCAUAUCUUUUUCCAGUGCUCUUUGGCUAAAUUCAUUUGGAGUUGCAUUAGACUUUGGCUUGGGGUUAAUUGGAACCCUUCCUCCUUUGUCCCAAGUUAUGUUAGAUCUUGCCCCACCUGGAAGUUACAAAGACAGAUGUACUUCUAUGUCAAAUAGAUCUGCAUCAAUGUUUCCAAGAUCAACUUAUAUGAAUAAAAGGCUGCAUUGUGCUCGGAUUGUGAUCACUAACACGGUCAUUCUGCAAAUUUGUCUGGUCACUUCCCCACCGCCCAUCACAAUUCUCCCCCGUUCCCCAUCCUACCAUGGUCGUCAGCUUCCUCUCUCCACCGCCGGCUCUCCCAGGUCAGGCCGCCACUCCCCUUCGUCCCCACUGCCGGCGCGAGGUCCGCAGCCCCUGCUCUUCCUCCUCUUCAUGUUGAAUCUGGUCGCGGAAGUGGCCGAGGAGGCCCUCGAGCUCGGCAUGCUCGCGCGAGCAAUCCAACGCUCGGCAUGCUCGCUGGCGAAGCCGGCCCCUUCUCUCCUCCUGAUGCGAGGGAGGUCCCCCAUCGCCCCCACGGACAAGGCGCGGAUGGAGGCGUACCAGAAAGUGCAGGAGUUCGACUUGUCCAGCGGCGCUGAUUGGAAGACGACCGCCAAGCACAAAGGAGAGUUUGGAACCCUGUUCGUGGAGCACACGGAUCAUGGAAAAAUUAUGGAUGAGAAGGCGAGUCUAAGAUCAAUAUCUGCUUGGGGGCCAUGGCGUGUUCUGUGCGGCAUUGCCCUCGCCGCCGCCGCCGCCCGGGGCGCCGUGUCUCAUGCGUCGCUACCUGACGUCCACUCUAGGAGCUGGGCUUGGCUGCCAAUGGGGCCAAGAAGGUCCCAUAUCGGAGAUAAAUCUGCUUGCAAGGCUCUCGAUGAUGUAUUCACUUUCAACAAUUGCACCAGGGUGUGGUCAGUUGGAGAAGACAUUACUAUGAUUGUUUUUUCAGCAUAG
rnacentral:rRNA from 1 species